rnacentral:rRNA from 1 species
GACAGAGGGUGCAAACGUUGUCCGGAAUUACUGGGCGUAAAGAGCUCGUAGGCGGUUUGUCGCGUCGUCCGUGAAAACUUGGGGCUCAACCCCAAGCUUGCGGGCGAUACGGGCAGACUUGAGUACUGCAGGGGAGACUGGAAUUCCUGGUGUAGCGGUGAAAUGCGCAGAUAUCAGGAGGAACACCGGUGGCGAAGGCGGGUCUCUGGGCAGUAACUGACGCUGAGGAGCGAAAGCGUGGGUAGCAAACAGG